GAUGAACGCUAGCUACAGGCUUAACACAUGCAAGUCGAGGGGAAACGACAUUGGAAGCUUGCUUCCGAUGGGCGUCGACCGGCGCACGGGUGAGUAACGCGUAUCCAACCUGCCCAUCACUUGGGGAUAACCUUGCGAAAGUAAGACUAAUACCCAAUGAUAUCUCUAGAAGACAUCUGAAAGGGAUUAAAGAUUUAUCGGUGAUGGAUGGGGAUGCGUCUGAUUAGCUUGUUGGCGGGGUAACGGCCCACCAAGGCGACGAUCAGUAGGGGCUCUGAGAGGAAGGUCCCCCACAUUGGAACUGAGACACGGUCCAAACUCCUACGGGAGGCAGCAGUGAGGAAUAUUGGUCAAUGGGCGAGAGCCUGGACCAGCCAAGUAGCGUGCAGGAUGACGGCCCUAUGGGUUGUAAACUGCUUUUAUAAGGGAAUAAAGUGAGUCUCGUGAGACUUUUUGCAUGUACCUUAUGAAUAAGGACCGGCUAAUUCCGUGCCAGCCGCCGCAGUAA
rnacentral:rRNA from 1 species